rnacentral:lncRNA from 1 species
UUUUUUUUUUUUUUGAGAAUCGCAUGUAGAUAUAGUUAGUUGUGAUUAGUGGCCUAGUGCAUUGGCUAGUGGGCGUUAGCGGCCCGAGAGUGGUGGCUGGCUAAUGCGUGGGUCGGUCUUGUACUUAGCUAUUUAAGUUGAAGAAGAUGAAUGAGAAAAGCAGGCCGUGAGGGCUGGGCAAAGAUGUAGCAUUUGUGUCACCAAGGGAGAGAGCUCUCGGCAAAGCUGGUGCUAGUUUCUUCCUUGGUGUGUGUGUGUAUGUGUAGAGUUUCACCCUGUGUGCGUGUGUUCUUGUGUGAGAGAAACCAAGAGAUAGAGAGAGAGAGAGUUGUGCGAGGCAGCUCGAGGAAGAAGAAGGGGCGCUGCGAGAAGGCGGCGCCAACAACCCGGACCUCAUUCUGCCACAGGUGGUCAACGACAACGAGGCCCAAGUGGUCGCCCUCACCGCCACCAACUUCUCCUCCUUCCUCGCCGUCCGCUGCCACAUCGUGGUCGAUUUCUACGCAUCCUGGUGCUACUGGUCACGCAAACUCGCCCAUGAAUAUGCCGCGGCCGCGUUGCACCUGGCGGACAAGGGGCUCGAUGUCGCACUCGCCAAGGUUGACGCCACUCAUGGGCAAGAUGACUAAAACUCUGUUUUCCGCAACAAUGGAGCGAGCAACAGACUUGUUGGAAAUAAUACAUACUGAUGUAUGCGGUCCGAUGAGUGUUGAUGCUCGCGGCGGGUAUCGUUAUUUUCUAACCUUCACAGAUGAUUUGAGCAGAUAUGAGUAUAUCUACUUGAUGAAAUAUAAGUCUGAAACAUUUGAAAAGUUUAAAGAAUUUCAGAGUGAAGAGAAAAAUCAUCGUAACAAGAAAAUAAAGUUUCUACGUCUGAUCGUGGAGGAGAAUAUUUGAGUUACAAGUUUGGUCUUCAUUUGAAACAGUGCGGAAUAGUUUCGCAACUCACGUCACCCGAAACACCACAGCGUAAUGGUGUGUCCGAACAUCGUAAUCGUACUUUAUUAGAUAUGGUGUGGUGUGAUCUAUGAUGUCUCUUACUGAUUUACCGCUAUCGUUUUGGGGUUAUGCUUUACAGACAGCUGCAUUCACGUUAAAUAGGGCACCAUCUAAAUCCGUUGAGACGACACCUUAUGAAUUGUGGUUUGGCAAGAAACCCAAGUUGUCAUUUCUUAAAGUUUGGGGCUGCAAUGCUUAUGUGAAAAAGUUUCAACCUAAUAAGCUCGAACCCAAAUCGGAGAAAUGUGUCUUCAUAGGAUACCCAAAGGAGACUGUUGAGAACACCUUCUAUCACAGAUCCGAAGGCAAGAUAUUCGUUGCUAAGAAUGGAUCCUUUCUAGAGAAGGAGUUUCUCUCGAAAGAAGUGAGUGGGAGGAAAGUAGAACUUGAUGAGGUAAUUGUACCUUCUUCCGAGUUGGAAAGUAGUACAUCACAUAAGUAAGUUCCAGUGAUUCCUACACCAACUAGUGAGGAUGCUAAUGAUGAUGAUCAUGAAACUUCUGAUCAAGUUACUACCAAACAUCAUAGGUCAACCAGAGUAAGAUCCGCAUCAGAGUGGUACGGUAAUCCUGCUCUGAAGGUCAUGUUACUUGACCAUGAUGAACCUACGAACUAUGAGGAAGCGAUGAUGAGCCCAGAUUCCGCAAAAUUGCUUGAGGCCAUGAAAUCUGAGAUGGGAUCCAUGUAUGAGAACAAAAUGGGGACUUUGGUUGACUUGUCCGAUGAUCGACUUUGGUUUAACAAGGUUAUUUUUUGGAGGAAAUAAUUAUCAUGCACCUCCUGCCACUAAUCCACCACCUCUUUGUCCAUUUUUGAGCAGGAAUACGAGACGCGAGACAUGAAACGCCAAAUUCGUGCUUGUUUAAUGUUACAUAGCGAACUGUUGAAAAUUAUCCCUCCUGUUGGGUAAGCAGAGGCACAGUUGUGUGGACUCUUGUGCCCGUCAGAUUCGGCAUCCGGAAUGGACAUGAGAGACUAUCAUGCUGACACGCCGGGAAGCAGCCUCGCCGUCAUAUGGGCCGAAACACAACUGGCAGGGAACCAGAUCCUGAAGGCACUGUGGGCCAAAGUUGUCUGCUUGGAAGUGCAGGCUCCCAAAAGAGAGCGUUGUGCCUUCAAUACCACACCAGGUCGGCGGCAAUGAAGUUGAGCGUAAGAUACUAUUACAUUUAAAGUUACUCAUAGACUAAGGCAAAUAAAUAGGCACAGAUAGGAGGCACCUGUCCAAAUAUGUUAAAAAAUAGUUUUGUGAAGGACCGAGAGGUUUUAAGUAAUCUAUUAGAAUUACUCACAAACUAAUGUAAUCGAUCUAUAUGUAUGGUCCAUGGAUUUAGGUUUUAAGCAGUGUUUCUAGUAUAAAUGAAAGCUUCAUGUGCACUUAGCAUUCACUAUAUUUAUUAAUAACUCUAUGAGUUUUGCCUUUAAGCAGAUUUCUAUGAGACUAGACAUAUUAUUAUCGCUUCCAAACAUAACUCUGUUACUCCAGGAUACAAAGUUCUCAAUUGUUAAAUGAAAGCUUCAAGUGCAGUUGACAUAGUAAAUAUCCAUUGAAGUUCUAUGCGACGAUGCAAAUCUUGCAGUUGCAGAAGCCGAAGACCACACCAUCGCACCAAUAGUGCGUGAUUUUAUAAUACCAACGAUGUUGGCAAUGAUAGAGGCAUUCGGACUUUAUACAUAAUGUCAUCCUGUCGCGCUUAAUCUCACAGUUCUCUGUGCAUCUCAAAUACAUUAAGGGUUAGACCAUAAUAGUGAGACAUCAAUUGUGACAACAUACCAUGUCAAACUAUUGCAUAAUUGGUAACAAGUAUUAUUCCUCCACGGCAUAGAAACAAUGUGCUUCAACAUCAUAUUUAAGAAAACUUCUAGUUAUCCCAUAAGAAACCUACUUCAGAAGAACAAAAGCUAGAACAUACCUGCAGUCAUACUGCUUCCUAACAACACAAGCAUCACCAUAAAACAAGCAAUGGUAGACCGUUUGUCCAUCCUUGAAUGCCACACCUGACGAGGCCCAAGGAACGAUAUA